CUUGCUCCCCGAAAGAAAAGGAGUGGCGAACGGGUGAGUAACACGUGGGUAACCUGCCCAUCAGAAGGGGAUAACACUUGGAAACAGGUGCUAAUACCGUAUAACAAUCGAAACCGCAUGGUUUCGGUUUGAAAGGCGCUUUUGCGUCACUGAUGGAUGGACCCGCGGUGCAUUAGCUAGUUGGUGAGGUAACGGCUCACCAAGGCAACGAUGCAUAGCCGACCUGAGAGGGUGAUCGGCCACAUUGGGACUGAGACACGGCCCAAACUCCUACGGGAGGCAGCAGUAGGGAAUCUUCGGCAAUGGACGCAAGUCUGACCGAGCAACGCCGCGUGAGUGAAGAAGGUUUUCGGAUCGUAAAACUCUGUUGUUAGAGAAGAACAAGGAUGAGAGUAGAAUGUUCAUCCCUUGACGGUAUCUAACCAGAAAGCCACGGCUAACUACGUGCCAGCAGCCGCGGUAAUACGUAGGUGGCAAGCGUU
rnacentral:rRNA from 1 species